UGGGGAAUAUUGGACAAUAGGCGAAAGCCUGAUCCAGCCAUGCCGCGUGUGUGAAGAAGGUCUUCGGAUUGUAAAGCACUUUAAGUUGGGAGGAAGGGUUGUAGAUUAAUACUCUGCAAUUUUGACGUUACCGACAGAAUAAGCACCGGCUAACUCUGAGCCAGCAGCCGCGGUAAUACAGAGGGUGCAAGCGUUAAUCGGAAUUACUGGGCGUAAAGCGCGCGUAGGUGGUUUGUUAAGUUGGAUUUGAAAUCCCCGGGCUCAACCUGGGAACUGCAUUCAAAACUGACAAGCUAGAGUAUGGUAGAGGGUGGUGGAAUUUCCUGUGUAGCGGUGAAAUGCGUAGAUAUAGGAAGGAACACCAGUGGCGAAGGCGACCACCUGGACUGAUACUGACACUGAGGUGCGAAAGCGUGGGGAGCAA
rnacentral:rRNA from 1 species